UGCAUCAGCCGGAAUCGAACACGGGCUGCCCGCGUGGCAGGCGAGUAUUCUACCACUGAACCACCGAUAGU
rnacentral:tRNA from 1 species